AGGACGAACGCUGGCGGCGUGCUUAACACAUGCAAGUCGAACGGUGAAAGUGGGAGCUUGCUCCUACCGGAUCAGUGGCGAACGGGUGAGUAACACGUGAGCAAUCUGCCCCGAACUCUGGGAUAAGCACUGGAAAUGGUGUCUAAUACUGGAUACGACGCGGGAGGGCAUCCUCACCGCGUGGAAAGAUUUCGGUUCGGGAUGAGCUCACGGCCUAUCAGCUAGUUGGUGAGGUAAUGGCUCACCAAGGCGACGACGGGUAGCCGGCCUGAGAGGGUGACCGGCCACACGUGGGACUGAGACACGGCCCAGACUCCUACGGG
rnacentral:rRNA from 1 species